GCCCUGGUGGCAUAGUGGUUAAAUGCCUGUACUGCAGCCACUUACUCAUAGACCACAAGGUUGCGAGUUCAAUACUAGCCAGGGCU
rnacentral:tRNA from 1 species